UACGUAGGGUGCAAGCGUUGUCCGGAAUUAUUGGGCGUAAAGAGCUCGUAGGCGGUCUGUCGCGUCUGCUGUGAAAACUCAGGGCUUAACCCUGAGCUUGCAGUGGGUACGGGCAGACUAGAGUGCGGUAGGGGAGACUGGAAUUCCUGGUGUAGCGGUGAAAUGCGCAGAUAUCAGGAGGAACACCGGUGGCGAAAGCAGCACUCUGGGACGUGACUGACGCUGAGACGCGAAAGCGUGGGGAGCAAACAGG
rnacentral:rRNA from 1 species